GGCCGGGUGCCCGGGUGGUGUGGGGAACGCUCGCGAAGCGGUGCACGCCGGUUCGAUUCCGGUCACGGCCU
rnacentral:tRNA from 1 species